UUAAAAAGCUCGUAGUUGGAUUUCUGAUUCUUGUCGUUGGUUGGGCGGCCGCGUGUCGCUCGCCUCGCACAGGAGUCAACAUAUGUCACGAGCCAGUGUGAUCUAUUCAUUUAGGUCCGCUGGGUAAUGACUCGUUUACUUUGAGAAAAUUAGAGUGUUCAAAGCAGGCAUUUGCCUUGAAUAUGUUAGCAUGGAAUAAUAGCAUAGGACUUCGGUUCUAUUUGUUGGUUGUUCGAGAACUGGAGUAAUGAUUGAUAGGGACGGUUGGGGGCAUCUGUAUUCUCAAGCGAGAGGUGAAAUUCUUGGACCUUGGGAAGACAAACAGCUGCGAAAGCGUUCGCCUAGGACGUUCUCUUUAAUCAAGAACGAAAGUUGGGGGAUCGAAGACGAUCAGAUACCGUCGUAGUCUCAACUAUAAACUAUGCCAGCUAGGGAUCGGUGGGUCUUUGUCACGAGUCCAUCGGCACCUUACGAGAAAUCAAAGCAUUUGGGUUCCGGGGGGAGUAUGGUCGCAUGGCUGAAACUUAAAGGAAUUGACGGAAGGGCACCACCAGGAGUGGAGCCUGUGGCUUAA
rnacentral:rRNA from 1 species